rnacentral:lncRNA from 1 species
UAUAUUUCACUGCUGGGCUUGACCCAGGAUUUAUACCUUGUGCUGCUGUAUUCUGGAAACUGUUGGUCUUGCACCAAUAGCGCGAUUUGCAAGGGACAUGCCCAAGAGAUCUAGAGUGACGGUAACUAUGCUGGUGCAAGAAUUUGAAUUCAGACACUGAAGGGGCACAUUCACAAAGAAAAAAUUGCAUUACCAACAUUUGUUAAUCAAAAUAUGAUGACUAGCUUGGGAAUAUCCAGAAGAAGGGGAAAGUUUGUGAAGGAAAAAAAAGAAUAUUGCAACUCACUGCUAGAGGCGUUAAUACGACGCUAACGAACCGUAGCCUUUCCAGAGCAUAGCUGGCAACAUUAGCACCCAUCUGUGCUGAGUGGGAUGUGCAAGCAGAAGCCAGGGCCGAGCAGCCUCCACCUGUUUGCAGAAAACCUUGCAUUUCCUGUGAAGGAGGAAGUCUGUGCUGUCCCCAUGGAAUGGGAAGGACUUGGAUGCUUCACUAAGACUUCUCCCUUCCCCCUUGAUGAGCAGUGCUCCUUUCAAGUGAAUGGAAGGUCUGGGAGUAAUGCAUACAAACACAGAGGCCGGGUCCUGUGUUGUGUGGAGGCGUGCAGCAAUCUGGUCUGGAUGGAGAAAAUACCUCAGAAAACCCAAGAGGAAUGUUUACUUUGA